rnacentral:rRNA from 1 species
GCAAGUCGUGGGGCAGCAUGAGUAGCAAUACGUUGAUGGCGACUGGCAAACGGGUGCGGAGCACGUACACAACCUUCCUUCAAGCGGGGAAUAGCCCAGAGAAAUUUGGAUUAAUACCCCAUAAAAUAUAAAAAUGGCAUCAUUCAUAUAUUAAAGCUUCGGCACUUGAUGAUGGGUGUGCGGCUGAUUAGAUAGUUGGCGAGGUAACGGCUCACCAAGUCUACGAUCAGUAGCUGAUGUGAGAGCAUGAUCAGCCACACGGGCACUGAGACACGGGCCCGACUCCUACGGGAGGCAGCAGUAAGGAAUAUUGGACAAUGGACGAAAGUCUGAUCCAGCCAUGCCGCGUGAAGGAUUAAGGUCCUCUGGAUUGUAAACUUCUUUUAUAUGGGACGAAAAAAGAGAAUUCUUUCUCACUUGACGGUACCAUACGAAUCAGCACCGGCUAACUCCGUG